rnacentral:rRNA from 1 species
CGUGUAGGCGGCGUGGUAUGUCAGAUGUGAAAGCCCUGGGCUUAACCCAGGAAGUGCAUUUGAAACUGCCAUGCUUGAGUAUGGGAGAGGAGAGUGGAAUUCCCAGUGUAGAGGUGAAAUUCGUAGAUAUUGGGAGGAACACCCGUGGCGAAGGCGACUCUCUGGACCAAUACUGACGCUGAGGCGCGAAAGCGUGGGGAGCAAACA